CUUCACACCUUGCCACUGCAGGUAUAAUAUCGGGCUACGAGAUCGAUGUAGUCAAGUGGAUAGCCCGAGAGAUUAUGGAUAGGGCAACUAGCACAGACACUGUGUUGACCUUCCCUUGCAUGGUGACUUAGAUUUGUUUGGAGGUGGGAGUGCCAGAGCUCCCAGAUAUUAAUCGAUUCUUAAGGCCGAGGACCACGAUAGAUUUGGGGUUAAUCAGAGAUGUAACUAAUCCUAUCUCAAAGAUGGCAAAGUUGGGCACGUCCAUAAUUAGUGAUGCAUAUGAGGCUGGAGAAGAUGACAGUACGAGGUUUACUGAUAUAGGUGAUAUCCCUAUUAAGACUGUCCAGUCCAUGUCCCAGGCCUCUGAUGCAGCGGUAACCUCUCGUACUCCCACUCCACCACUUACUAUGGAACCACGACCAUCCUCAUCCAAGUUGGUUCCAGCCGACUAUGUAUUAGUGUCGCAAUAAUUUCUUUUCAAAGUUAUAAAGAGGUUGAGUACGGUGGAAAUAAAGGUGCGAUUGAUGAAGAAAGGAGUGAAAUCAUGGGUUUAGAAGAGGCUUAAUGAAGAUAUGAGGACAAUGUAGGCAAGGUUUGAUGUGUUUGAGUGGAGGAUUAACCGUCAGCUUGAAGGUAUCCAGUCCCCAAACAUAGCAGGUGUACAGGCUGAUUUAGCCAAUCUGUGAAAAUUAGUAGAAGAGUUACAUGAUAGGACAAUCCUAUCAGUGCCUAUUAUUGAGGAGACCACAGAGAGGAUGUGGUCAAAAAUACUUUAUCUAUUGGUGAUGCAACUCCUGCAGCUGGCGAAAAGGUGAAAAAAGCAAAAAAAAAAAAAAAAGAGAUUUGAAGAAGAAAAUAUUUAGAUUGCAACAAGAGAGAGUCAUAAGAGUGAGAGAAACCACAAGAAGAGGGUCCAAGAGAUAGCGGCCGGGGCUGGUAGUUCGACACUCGCUGAUGCUGCUGGGAUGAGCAGUAGUACAGUCCAGCCGCCUGAGCCAUCUUUGAGUGCACUGACCACCACUGGUUCCACUAUUGCUGAGAGUGUCCUGACAACUGUUGGGACCACUGAUGUUCAGGAUGGGACCCGGUAUGAGGUCCUACAUGCUGAUCAGGAUUAAUAUGGCGACCAGAGUGCUCAGGGAAACUAGGUCGGAAGUAGUUUUGAACUAAAA